GCAUGCAGACAGAGGCUUUGAGAGAGCACACGGCAGAUGGAAGGGUGAGUCAAACCAGGACUCAGCACCCUUGAGCCUGGCCAUGGCUCCCCUCAUGUCAUUCCACACUCCCUCUCUGCAUCUGGUCCAGAUGAGGAAACCAAAGCAGGCAAUCCCAAGGGCCACAGCUCCUGCCUCCCCAAGGAAGCGCAGUCCGGAAGCUUGGAUUGUUUGUCCAGGGCCCUCUCCCGGCAACCACAUGUCCACACUGCAGCACCACAUUAUGUGCUAUAAGAAGAAAGAUGCAGGGGACCCCUCCAGAAGCUGAAGGAGAAAAAGUUUGCUGAUUCCUGGGCUGAAUCAAAACAGGGGCUGAAAACAGCAUCCUAAGACAGAAGAUGGAAAAACUGAGGCUCAGAGAACUUAACCGAGGACAUCCAGCUUGUAAGAGGCAGAGGUGAGAUUCAGACCCAGGCUUGUCUGCUGCCCAAAGCCAAGCUCUCUCUUGCAGGCCCACUGCCACCUCAGCCUCAAAGCAACAGCCUCUCUCGUCAAACCCCUCUAGGCCUGUGGGAUACAGAGGUGGCUUCGCCCCAGUAGGAAGCCUGCUUCUUCUGGAAUCCAGGGAGAGGUCUCGGAGCUCAAACCUGGAGCUUUCCACCACCAUGCUGGGAGCAUGGGAAGCGGGUGUUUUUCUUCCUUGCGGCCUCAUGGCUGUUUCCUACAACGUAUCCGCCCUGGAGAAUGCCCGGAAGAGAUGGUUUCCGGCUGGCACAGGGAGGAGCUGGUCUCUUCCCACCCCACAGAGAAGGGUUUUCAGUCCAAAGCAGCAGCUGCCUGUGCCUUGCCCUUGGACAGGCAGCACAGGCAGCAUGGGCAGGUUUGGGUGCAGGGUCUGGAUUCUUCCCCCUGCCUGUUCAGACCAAUUAACAGUUACUGAGCAUCUCCUAGGUACAAGGGGCUGCCUGAGAUGGACUCCUGGCUUUGCCACCUGCCAGCUGUGUGAUCUUGGGAAAGGUACUCAAUUGUGCUGAGGCUAUUUCCCCAUCUGAAAACGGGAGCACAAUACUUAUCUCAUUGAGUUACUGGAACAUUAAUAAGAAAAUAUAAGCCAGGGGCUUAGAACAAUACUUGGCACAUAGUGAGUAUUCAGCAUACGUUCAAAAGCCAUAUGUUCAAAAGCAUGUGAGAGAUACAACAGAUACUACCAUUCGUGUCAGUUUUCUCAUCUAUAAAUUGCUCCCAAUUUGCCAGGGAGAAAGCUGACACCAAGAAUAAUUGCUCCCAAUUUACAGAUGGGAAAACUGACACAGAUAAUAGGAAUGAAUCUGGGACUUGAAUCUAGAGGGCCUGGUUCCAAAUCCUCCACUAUUCACAGCACUCUGCACUCCUUUGUGGCUUUCACUAUGAAGAACUCAUGAAGCUGGUUAAGAGGCAAAGCCAAGAUUUCAUCCCAACCCUGUAGAAUCAGAAUUAGGAAGUGAAGAGUUGGGGGUAUAUAUUAUACUCACUUUUAAUAUAAUGUAUUUAAUUAUCAGUUUGUAUAACUUACUAUUUAAUAAUGACUGUGUUUCACAACCAGUUCUCAAUAUUCCUGGAAAUUUAGCAAUCAGCUCUCAUGAACCAAUAUCAUACAAUUACCUCUCGGGGCUCUUGUAAAACUGAAGGAAGUCAUGUCUGUCAACCAUCAAUAUGCUGGAGCCAGCCAUGGGACCCUGGGCAAGCUUCUUAACCACCAUCGUGUGCUUCAGAUUUUCCCCAUCUGUAAAAUAAGACUGUUGUGAAGUUUACAUGAGAAAAUGCAUGCAAAGAAUGAAGCCAGGGCAGAACCAAGGUGAGGUAAGCAAAGAAACAACGAUGCAAAAAAUUCAACGAGGCGCUCUCUCAGGGUCUCCUGAGUGCAGGGUCGGCACCAGAGCGUGCCUUAAAUUCUGUCUGCUAAGUACCUCACUUGCCCCAGUCCCAGCCAGCCCUACUUCUGGAUCGCAGUAAGUACUUGCUGUUAUUACGACAGGAGCUUCAAGGAGGGUGUAACCUAACAGGGUAGAUAAGACAUAAAGAAAAGGUUCCCAACAAUACGUGAGAAAAACAACAGCAUGGUACAUUGUCCUGGGGCAUAUGGUAGAUACCCAAGAGCUUUCCAGAUAAUGGGGGUUAGAUUUCCACAGUAAUCGCCACAGCCUGUGGAGGAGACUGAGCCUCCUCUAGGAGGUCCAGGGCUGUCACUGGAAACAGCUAUUGCAAGCAAGAAGUUCUUUGCAUUCAUCUGAAAGAUAAAGAACACUAGUCCUCAAAGUGUACUUUCUAUUAUAUGUAAUUUCUCCCCCAAGAACUUUUCCAGUGAAGCUGACACCAGGGGAAGAUGGGCCUGUUGACCUGCGGUUUUCCAAGCUCCUGACACCCACUGGGCACCAACCACUUAUAGGGGUGAUGGUGGUGAGGGCUGUGUUCUGUCAGAAGAAGGAAAGAGCUGUGUGGGCUGAGGGCAAUGAGGUUUCUCGUGUUGAGGAACAGGGAAAGGGAACGGGGGCUGUAUUAGGGUACUCCAGAGAAACAGAACCAAGAGGAUAUAUAGAGAUAUAUAAGAAAGAAAUUUACAGUGAGGGGUUGACCAGGUGAUUAUGGAGACUGAGAAGUCCCACGAUCUGCCGUCUGCAAGCACGAGGUCCAGGAAAGCUGGAGGUGUACCUCCAGGCCAAACUCAAAGGCCUGAGAACCAGCGGGGCUGACAGUGUCAAUCCCAGUCCAGGUCCAAAAGCCUAAGAACUUGGGAGGGGUAGGGGGCCCAAUGAUGCAAAUCUGAGCCUGAAUUCGAAGGCCUUAGAACCCGGAAGACCAAGAGAAGAUGGAUAUCCCAGCUUAAGCAAAGAGCAAAUUUGUCCUUCACCCACCUUUUUAUUUUAUUCAUCCCUCAAUGAAUUGGAGGAUGCCCCCCUGCAUUGGUGAGGGCGAUCUUCUUUACUCUUUAAUCAGUCUACUGAUCCAAAUGCUAAUCUCUUCUGGAGACACCCUCACAGACACAUUUCACUGGAUAUCUGGGCAUCCUUUAGCCCAGUCAGGUUGACAUAUAAAAUUAACCAUUACAGUUUUGAUACCUUGAAAAUUCCCAAAGUGUGUAACAUUUUGAAGGAAGACAACUCUCAAAUCUCUAAAUCAUUUCUCUUCAAUGCAUAUUUGAGCAAAUUCCAGACUAACAGUGAGAUAUUGUAACAACAGCAUUGGAUUUGGAAUUAAAAGACUUGGUUUUGCAGAAAGCUGAUUGACAGUUGCUUAGGUUGGGGAGGGUUUGAGGGAAAUGAGGGGUGUUGACUAAGGGUUGUGGGACUUCUUUGGUGCUAAUGAUGAAAAUGUUCUAAAAUUGACUAUGGUGAUGGUUGCAUGUCUCUGUGAAUAUAUUAAAAACCAUUGAAUUAUGUAUAUUAAAUGGGUGCAUUAUAUGGCAUGUGAAUUAUAUCUUAAAAAAUGA